UGAGGCUCUACCGCAGACUGCAGCCACUAAGGGGUUAAUCACAGUGGACUGCGGAACCUCAGAGCACGCUGGGAGAGGACGAUGUAGCCGCCCUGGGCCCUGCUGGGAAGUGUAGUUCUUCGGGCAGGCGGCGAGUAAGCUCUCAGCUACUGUCCAGCACCAUGCCUGCCAUCCAGGUGCCAUGCUCCUGACCAUGACGGUCAUGAUGAACUCACCCUCUGAAACUGUAAGCUCCAAUAAACUUUUGUAAGUUGC